UCGAUGGGAAGCAGGUUAAUAUUCCUGCACGACUUGUAAUUGCGAUGGGGGGACGGAGAAGGCUAGGUGGGCCAGGCGACGGUUGUCCUGGUGAAAGUGCGUAGGUGGUGUUUCUAGGCAAAUCCGGAGACACAACACUGAGACACGAGACGAACGCACCACGGUGCGGAAGCCAUUGAUGCCCUGCUUCCAGGAAAAGCCUCUAAGCUUCAGAUUACAAGUCAUCGUACCCCAAACCGACACAGGUGGUCGGGUAGAGAAUACCAAGGCGCUUGAGAGAACUCGGGUGAAGGAACUAGGCAAAAUAGUACCGUAACUUCGGGAGAAGGUACGCUCUUGUUGGUGAAGUCCCUUGCGGAUGGAGCUGACGGGAGUCGCAGUGACCAGAUGGCUGGGACUGUUUAUCAAAAACACAGCACUCUGCAAACACGAAAGUGGACGUAUAGGGUGUGACACCUGCCCGGUGCCGGAAGGUUAAUUGAUGGGGUUAGCG
rnacentral:rRNA from 1 species